AAAAAAGAGAAACCACUAUGAUGGGGGUCUGGGUCGCGAACAAGAGGGCAGGAAGGAGAAACCCCACUCCUUCAACUCUUCACAAGAAAUUCAGAAAUUGAUGAUAAAAUUAGACACGAAAUCGAAUGCAUGAGCCUAGUUAAUCUCUAACUUAAGUGAUUUGAGCAUAAGGAUCAUGUUUAGAUGGGAAAGCAUGGAAGGCAAACGGAAAGGAUAUGAGGAAGCAUGUACGAAACGGGCACUCAAGCAUUGCAGCUGCAACUCGGUGGAAAAAAGGGGGUGUCGCGCCACGUGAUAGCAAGGAGCAGGGGCCGUCGCGCGACGCGACAGUGACCUGUUUCAGCGAAAAUUGUUUAUUUGUUCGGUUUCGUCACGCGAACUUGUUUAAACGCGUUUUAAACUACGUAUGACUAUUCCAACUUAUGUUUUAUGAGUUGUAGGCCUAGCCACCCGGUUUCGAUUGUAAACGUUUAUAUAUUCCAAAUGAUUAUCUUAUGCCAUGGUUUAUGAUGUUGGUUUGGUUAUAGAUGAAUGUUAUGAUUCUC